GGAAAUCUCACCCGGCCCGGACACCGCGAGGAUUGACAGACUGAGAGCUCUUUCUCGAUUCGGUGGGUGGUGGUGCAUGGCCGUUCUUAGUUGGUGGAGCGAUCUGUCUGGUUAAUUCCGAUAACGAACGAGACCCCAACCUGCUAACUAGCCCUCGGGUCCUGCUUCUGUUGGGCCCGACGGAAUGAUUCGCUUCUUAGAGGGACUCGCGGCGCCUAGCCGCACGAAGGGGGGCGAUAA
rnacentral:rRNA from 1 species